GGGGCUGUAGCUCAGGGGUAGAGUGCACGCUAGCAUGCAUGAGGCACUGGGUUCGAUCCUCAGCACCCCCA
rnacentral:tRNA from 1 species